AAAUACAGUCUGGGCCUCUCCACAGGUCCCCAGCAGCUCUAAAGGAUGGAGUAAAACCCGUUUGCACCUCAUCCAGUUAGGCGACCUGUCUUAGAUGGGCCCCUAACAGAAGAAUUAGAGCGGCAUGGAGAGAGUGGAACCAGAUUGUGAAAACCGGUCUGUGUCAUUUCCUCUCGGGACUGUCUGCUUCAUGAAGGGAGGUACUGGCUCUGCCGCGGCUUCGAUGCUCUGCCUCGCCUCACGGUGCUGGGCACACAGUGUCACAGUCUUCCCAGGAGUCUCACUGCCUUUCCACAAGGGGGGGCUGGUUUGUGCCCCGAAAGAAAAGCACGGCCCGUAGUACCGAACUAGGAGCCUCCUGCACCCCCAUUAAGUGCUUUUUAGGAUAAGCCAGAUAAAGUGUGACGCCUCGCCUGACCUUUGCCAGGUUCACCGCCUCGCACAUGACACUGUCCCCAAGGAACACAGUGCAACUCUUCUCGUGGCAUGUAUGCUACACCUUGGCUGCGCAGACAUGAAGGAGCCGGAACGCCCACCCACUGGCAAGGCGCUCACAGUCCAUUAAGAGAGGAAGACCCAGGGCAGCAGGUGCUGUGCGCAGUUGUUAUGAAAAAUGAACGCAUAGUUACUGACGAGACCCCGAAAGACAUGCGUGCGUGAGGAACAGAGCGCCCGGUGCACGGGGAAGGCCAGUGGGAGGAAGUGACGCGGCCUAAGGUGAGAAGGGCGGUGGGUGCCCAGCCCUCUGUAUGUUCCUGCUUCUGUCACCUCAGACAACACCGUGGCCGAAUCAGUUCAUCAAGCCCUUGGCAUUGUCGGCCUCUGACUCUCCCGGUUCGGCCGGUGCCCCUGGGAAAGGUGGUGGAACCUCAGGGCAGGGUCCCCUCCUCUGUUCUCCUCCAUGGUUCUCAGGGCUCUUCCCCCAGUGGGUUUUGUUUACUACUCUGUGAACCUUCAGGAAAUCCCACUCUUCAGUCUCCUGCCCUGUGUGCCUUGGGAACUGGGUGUAUCUUUCUAUAGUGAGACCCAUCUCUUUGAAGUGGGGCAAAUUCCUGAUUUUGUCGCUGCAGUCCUUUGUCCCCAAUAUACUUCUCAAUUGCA